AAUUUCAGCUCAAGCAGAAUGCAUGGAUUGGGAACUUCACUUUGGGUGCGAGUUACAUUAGCUUGCCCUGGUGGGCUGGCCAGACUUAUUUGGAACUCUUACUCCUGAUAUUGUUGUCCUGACUACUUUGUACAGCAUAGCUGGGAUAUUUCUUCUCCAUUUUAUAUUCACUUUUCUUUGAUCAUUCAUAUCUGUCAUGAUGAUCGACUGUUUUCUUGAUUUUGCAGCUAGGGUUUGCUAUUGUGAAUGAUUUUAAAAGCAUCAAAGGGGAUAGAACUCUGGGGCUUCAGUCACUUCCUGUUGCUUUUGGGAUGGAAACUGCAAAAUGGAUAUGCGUUGGAGCAAUUGACAUCACUCAGUUAUCUGUUGCAGGCUACCUACUGAGCACUGGUAAGCUGUAUUAUGCCCUGGCGCUGCUUGGACUAACAAUUCCUCAGGUGGUCUUUCAGUUCCAGUACUUCCUGAAGGAUCCUGUGAAGUAUGAUGUCAAAUACCAGGUGCACUUCAGUUGGUUCUCCCUAUGUUUUUACUUCCACAUUUAUUUCACGUUCCAAAACUAUACGGGAGUCGAACUGCUUUCAG